rnacentral:lncRNA from 1 species
CGCAUUUCAAAGCAUAAUUUCUAUUUUUAAAUGCUUAAUCAGUGUCCCCGGGGCACUGUUUAGCAUUAUUCUCGUCCUCGUCUGUUAAGAAAGAACAAACAACAAACCUUCAAUCUCAUCAAUUUUGAAUGUGUAAAACAAUCUCACAUGAGUGAUAUCACAAUUACUCAACAUGUCUUUUUAUGUACAUAUAUAUAUACCUGGAAAAAUGAGUUGUUUGCAUAACUUGUUUCUCCAUCACCUCCAUUCAUGUGCACCUGCCCCAAGUUCAUUCUCGCGUUUUAUUUCCCCCUUUCUCAAUCCUCUGUGUUNN